rnacentral:lncRNA from 1 species
GAUCAUGUAAUUAUCUUAUGGGAAGUGAUGGAUUCACAUAUAAAAAGAAUGAGGAUUGAAACUUGUUGAGGGUAGGCAAACGUAGACCAUGGUCAUGGUUGCAAUUAUUAGGAAGUGAUAAAGAAGGAGAGGUUCACAUAUAAAUAUAUCAUCUCUGACACCAUCUAUGAUUGUGAACACUCACCAAACUAUUGCAUGCCUAGAAGUAGAUGUUGGACAAGGAAGACAACAUAAUGAAUUGUGUUUGCUUGGCUCUAAACAAUGUUAUAUGAUUAGAGAGCCCUUAGCAUGCGACGAUUGCUUCCACCUCAUAUUAGCCAAAACCUCCCACACCAAGUAGAGAUACUACUUGUGCAUCCAUAAACCUUCAAACCAGUUUUUCCAUGAGAGUCCACCAUACCUACCUAUGGAUUGAAUAAGAUCCCUCAAGUAAGUUGUCAUCGGUGCAAGCAACAAAAAUUGCUCUCUAAUAUGUAUGAUCUAUUGGUGUGUGGAAAAUAAGCUUUGUACAAACCUGUGAUGAGGAAGACAUAAAAGCGACAGACUGCAUAAUAAAGUUCUUUAUCACAGGAGGCAAUAUAAAGUGACGUUCCUCCGCACUAAGAGGACACGCAUCCAAACCUCAAAAGCACAUGACAACCUCUGCUUGCCUGUGCGAAGGGCCUAUCUUGUACCUUUACUUUUUGUCCCUGAAAGAGUCAUGAUGAUCUUCACCAAUUCCUUAUUUUGCCUUUGUCUUGGCUACCGUCACAUGCUUGGAGGUAGGCAUUCAUGAAUUAUUAUUGUUGGAGGUAGGCCUUUGUCCUAAUGGAAAGAUCUAUAUUCAUAUGUCAACUUGGAGGUAGGCAUUCAUGAAUUAUUAUUGUUGACGUUACCCUUGAGGUAAGCAGUUGGGAGGAAAAACUGUAAAGCCCCUAUCUUUCUCUGUGUCU